rnacentral:rRNA from 1 species
GUCGACGGUUGGUAGCAAUACCAAUAGUGGCGCACGGGUGCGUAACGCGUAACCAACCUACCCGAAUCUGGGGGAUAGCCCGCCGAAAGGCGGAUUAAUACCGCAUAAAACUGCAGCCUGGCAUCAGGUAACAGUUAAAGAUUUAUUGGAUUCGGAUGGGGUUGCGUGCCAUUAGCUAGUUGGCGGGGUAACGGCCCACCAAGGCGACGAUGGCUAGGGGAGCUGAGAGGCUGGUCCCCCACACGGGCACUGAGAUACGGGCCCGACUCCUACGGGAGGCAGCAGUAGGGAAUAUUGGGCAAUGGACGCGAGUCUGACCCAGCCAUGCCGCGUGCAGGAUGAGGGCUUUCUGAGUCGUAAACUGCUUUACCAGGGAAGAAAAAAGGGGAUGCGUCCUCUACUGACGGUACCUGGUGAAUAAGCACCGGCUAACUCCGUGCCAGCAGCCGCGGUAAUACGGAGGGUGCAAGCGUUGUCCGGAUUUAUUGGGUUUAAAGGGUGCGUAGGCGGCUGAUUAAGUCUGGGGUGAAAGCCCGUUGCUCAACAACGGAACUGCCCUGGAAACUGGUUAGCUUGAGUACAGACGAGGGUGGCGGAAUGGAUACUGUAGCGGUGAAAUGCAUAGAUAGUAUCCAGAACCCCGAUUGCGAAGGCAGCUGCCUAGACUGUAACUGACGCUGAGGCACGAAAGCGUGGGGAGCGAACAGGA